rnacentral:tRNA from 1 species
GUGGGUAUAGCUUAGUGGUAGAGCGCAUGCUUAGCAUGCAUGAUAUAGAUAUAUCUAUGCGAAUAUAUAUGAUUAUAUAUACCCAUA